rnacentral:rRNA from 1 species
GACGGGGCCCGCACAAGCGGUGGAGCAUGUGGUUUAAUUCGAUGAUACGCGAGGAACCUUACCUGGGCUCAAAUGUAUGUUGACGUAUUCUGAAAGGGAUACUUCUUCGGACAAUAUACAAGGUGCUGCAUGGUUGUCGUCAGCUCGUGCCGUGAGGUGUCGGGUUAAGUCCCAUAACGAGCGCAACCCCUAUCAUUAGUUGCCAUCAGGUCAAGCUGGGGACUCUAAUGAAACUGCCUACGCAAGUAGUGAGGAAGGUGGGGACGACGUCAAGUCAUCAUGGCCCUUAUGUCCUGGGCUACACACGUGCUACAAUGGCCGGUACAGAGCGCAGCGAGGCCGCGAGGCGGAGCGAAUCGCUUAAAGCCGGUCCCAGUACGGAUUGGAGUCUGCAACCCGACUCCAUGAAGUUGGAAUCGCUAGUAAUCGCGCAUCAGCAUGGCGCGGUGAAUACGUUCCCGGGCCUU